GCCGCCCCGCCAGGGCCGUGUGUGCCCGGCCCCGCCCCGCAGCCGUGCCCAGGAAGCCGGGAGCAGGAAGCCGCGGGGCUGCGGGCAUGGCGAGCAGCGGCCCGGCGUGUAAAAGCCACUGCCAUGGGUCUCAUCGGCCUCAUAUGCACAGCAGCCGCAGCGUACAUGGAGAGAAAGAUCUCGCAGGCCCAUAUCCCAUUGCUGAAGACCCCAGUACCUGUGAUAUUGUCAAGGCUACACAAUAUGGACUCCUAGAGCGAUGCAAAGAACUGGUAGAAGCAGGAUAUGAUGUUCGACAGCCAGACAAAGAAAAUGUGACUCUUCUUCACUGGGCAGCAAUAAACAACAGACAAGAGCUGGUGAAAUAUUACAUUUCCAAAGGUGCAAUAGUGGAUCAGCUUGGUGGAGAUUUGAAUUCUACACCCCUGCACUGGGCCAUUAGACAAGGACACCUUCCCAUGGUCAUGUUAUUGUUGAAAUGUGGAGCGGAUCCCAAUCUUAUUGAUGGGGAAGGAUUCAGUAGCAUUCAUUUAGCAGUGCUGUUCCAACACAUGCCCAUCAUAACCUACCUAAUAGCAAAAGGCCAGAACAUAGACACAAUAGACUUCAAUGGACAAACACCUUUAAUGUUAACAGCACAAAAAGUCAUUGGACCAGAGCCCAUGAGGUAUCUCUUAAAGUUUAACCCCUCUCUCAAUGCUGUAGACAAUGUUCAAAAGAAUACUGCACUGCAUUGGGCAAUAAUCUCAGGAAAUACUAGUGCAGUGGAUUUGUUGCUGGAAGCUGGUGCCAGCCUGAACAUAAAAAAUGUCAAGGGAGAGACACCGCUUGACAUUGCUUAUCAAAGUCAGAAUCACUUCAUGAUUUAUAUGGUACAAGAGGAAGAAAGAAUGAGAAACAGGAGAAAUAACAGGUUGCUGAAAAUAAUAGAGAAAUAUGAGCUCUUCCUGAUGUUGGCAUCUUCCUUGACAUUCAUAUGGGCCAUUGGAUAUGUCAUGGACUUGAGUUCUGAUUCUUGGCUUUUAAAAGGAGGUUUGCUUCUCGGUCUGCUAUUUGGGAUGUCUCUGUUUGUGAGGCAACUCAUGGGGCUCAAGAAUCUAAGGUAUCUUCCCACAGCAUUUCUGCUAAGUUCAGUUUUUUGGAUGUCCAUGACCUGGUUUUUCUGGUUCCUUCCCGAUACCACAAAUGUAAUUCUUAAAAUCACUGUCAUGUUCAGCAUGAUGGGUCUUCUCUAUUAUUUCUAUAAAACCUGGAGUACUGAUCCUGGAUAUAUAAAGACUUCAGAAGAAGAAAGGAAAGAGAACAUAAUAGCUCUUGCAGAAGCUGGCUGCUUGGACUUCAGAACAUUCUGCACAUCAUGUCUUGUAAGGAAGCCUUUGAGAUCUGUGCAUUGCCUUGCUUGCCAAGCAUGUGUAGCCAAAUAUGAUCAGCAUUCUCUGUGGACUGGACAGUGCAUAGGCAUUGGGAACCAUUAUUACUACCUGUUGUUCCUGUUUUUCAUGAUGGUGACUGGUGUCUGGCUGCUUUAUGGAACUUUUCAGUAUUGGUCCAACCACUGUGCAAGUUUCCAUCAAGAUGGAGCCUGGACAUACUUCACCCAGACAGUAUCCUGCUCUCCCUGGGUUUCCUACAUCUCCUCAGUAGCCUGUUUCCACACCCUAUGGGCCUCUGUGUGGCUCACUGUUCAGCUUUAUCAGAUUGCGUUCCUGGGGUUGACCUCACAUGAAAGAAUGAACAUCCUGGUACAGAGAAAAUCCUCUAAGCAUCCUGUUCCACUCAGAAGGACUCCAUACAACCUUGGAUGCUUCCAGAAUUUUGCAGACUUUUUUCAGUGCAGUUGCUUUGUCUGAAAUAGAUGCAAAGGAUAUGUGACCAGUGCAGAGUGGGUGGGCACAAAACCAUCCUGUUCUCCCACCGGUGCUGAGGAGAUCCAGGUUGAUGGUGUGAGAUCCUGCCAAAUAUCCAUCACAGCUGCACUUCGGGUAAAAGCUCUCAGUGAAACAACAGUCUGCAGGUAAACAGGAGUCUGCAUGGGAAGGAGGGGCUGCUGGAAACAAGUUUCGCUCUUGCAAUACUUGUAGGGAAAAACUAUGGAGCAGAGAGGAUUAUAUAAAGUUUAGCUUGUCCGAUUCUACCUGUGUUAACAGGUUGCUUUGAAUUGUUUCUAAUUCUGCUGAAAUUUCUUUGGUCAAAAAAUACUGAUGUGUUUUGUAUGCCCAGUCAAAUAUAAUGGGAAAUAGAAGUUAUAUUUGAAAUAGUUUUAUUUAGAUAUGUAAAAAUGUGCAUCUAAACUAACUGUUUCCAUGCCUGAGUUUAGGCUGGGGAGAAAUCUUCCUUCUGUUGAGAAAUGAAAUCCUAUAAAUGGUUCAUAGAAAAGCCCAUGAAUGUGAUACAUGAUCCUGAGGCACCCAUGGCUGCUGAAUAGUGUACGUGAACCAUGGGGGACAGUAAAGCCAAUUAACAUACCUUUCAUAUGCCAGCUGGGUAACUUUUAGGAUUUGACCUUAAAUAUAUUUCUGAUGGGAACACUUUUUUUAGUAUCUAACCUAUCAAUAAUUCAAUUCAAACUUAAAACAAGGGGCAAAUAAAAGAAAAUUAUAAAAAAACAAACAGCAAAAUACACCAUCAACCAACCAACCAAGAAAAGCCCCACAGCAAACCAAAUAUUCAAUAGAGCUAAUGGAUAUAAGUCAUGAAAGUCACUGAAGUCACUAAAAUAAAAUAUUUCAGUUGUACUAAGAAUGAAGUUUACACUUGAGAAAUGUUCAUAACUAUGUUCUAUUAGGAUUGCUCUUUAUUUUUAUUUACUAUUAAUAAAAUAGUUAUAGGCAGAACAUGGAAGUAUUGAGAAGAUUCUAGUUGAGACUGAGAUUUUCCUUCUGCCAUUCUCUAAGAGUUAGCUGAAGGUUGUCUGUUAACUGAAAACUUUUUGAGGGAAUCCUUUCUUACUUGGUCUUUCAGGCAUCACUAAAGGCAUCAUUUGGACUUUUAGGCAUCACUUUUAGGGCACCUGGAGAAAGGCAAAGACAACUCAGGUGUGUCCUUUGAACUCAUUCUGCAAAGUGCUGCAUUUUAUUAGCUAAGCACAAAAUGUUAGUCUCAUACCUUCAAAUAUGAAGUCUCUAUCCCUCCAGGAAAGGAAGGAGAAAAUUUGAUUCAAUGGCUCCUGAACUGUCAUGAUGGAAGUUGUACUAAAAAGAGAAAGCAAAACUCCUGGAAGCCAAACAUCACAGAGGAGUGUGGAGGGAAAGAGUAAGAAAGUGAAAUAGAUCUACAUGAAAUAUGGGAAGGAGGAGGUUGAGAUCAUGUACUUGGAGGGAUUUGCACCAUAACCAACUGCAGGGAACUCUGCAUACAAAGUUUUUGCCCCAAAAUCCAAGAAUGGAUGCCAGUAAGUUUACAGAAUCCUAGAAUUCAAGAGACAUUGACCAACCUCACUCUCAGCCUGACCAACUCCAGAAUCAUGUAUAAAUAGGCUGCUUGAGGAAAGAGAAUUUGCUACCAAUAUGGAGCCUUGUGACAUUACUUCAGGAGGGAGGAUUUAAUGGACACUUCCUCUCAGGGCCUGCAGAGUCUGGGGGAGGUUGUGGCGCCCAUGCCAGACGUAUCUGUUCCUGGCCAGGCGGCUCACCAUGUGCAGGCUCUCCAGCACGUUCACAAUGUCAUAGAUACGCCUGCGCUCCACGUCUGCGGAGGGAAAGGUGAACCUGACAUCUCUGCUACGUAAAAUAUAUGCACUCAUGCAUUACCUGCAGAACAGAUUCCUGUCCUUCCCCUUAAUAUACUUCUAAAUAAUUUUUGCCAAUUCCAUAUCACAAACAGAAAAUAGCCCUCACAGGUCUUGCCAGCAAGGAAAACAAAUCGUGCUUCAUAUAUGGAAUGAUUUGCUGUUCCAGAGUUACACUUGGCUUUCAGCAUUCCUUAAGAAAUAAAACUUACUGUUGCCAGAAGAGCCAUUACAUGGGUUUCAAUCCAGCUUUAGAAAAAACAAAGCAUUUUUAAUUAUACACUGAAUUGAUUUUAGAUUGUGUCCUUAAAUAUCCAUGGAAACUCAUAAGAAACUGUUUUGUAACUUUUUUUACAUGUUAUUUUAUUAGCAUGCACUUCUUUUCUCAUUUGUCUGAUAAACUCUUGAUUUUGACAGACAUUUCUUAAAAGAUAUGUUCUUUUGUAUAAAGUAUAAAAAAACGUAAAUCAUACAGCUUUAAAAAAUUUUAUAACCAUCAGCAUUUUAAAAGAAUUUCUCUAGGAAUGAGGAAUUUAAAACUGGGUUUAAAUAAAUUUGAGAACAGUAUAAGCAUUCAAAAUUGUAUGGAGCAAAAAUGUACUAACAAAAAUGGUAGGUUAUUGGCAAAUUUGCAUGAAGAAAUAUUUAAUAGGAUGAACAGCAACUUACGUAGCUCUUCAGUGACUUCAUCGAGGCAAAUGUAACUUUUCUGUGAAGGGCUGGGGUAAUCAGGAUAUCGGGCUAAGAAUUUAUGACACAGUAAUCCGAGACUUUUCUCUUUGCGACUUGGUUGAGAUUUUUCAUAUUCAUCCCCCAAUAAGUGCUCCUACAUGGAAUAAGAAAAAGAGAUUGUGAGUUUUUUGACAAUAUGUAAGCACAGAUAAUUAUCAGCUUUGUAGUAAGCACUGAGGACAAAGGGCCAGUGUUCUCCCUUUGUCCUCAGCAGCUGUAAAAUAAAACCAGAACAUUACCUGUUGCAUGUAGCUAGUCAAUAUCCUUACUUAUAUUUGGUAAAUGCUCCAAAAUCAAAACUUAAAAAAAAAGAUGUGCCAUGUCAAUGUAUAAUUUUUAUACUGGAUAAACAGCCUUCAGCUAACUUCAAAAAAAAAAAGAAAAAAUAAAUACAAACAACUUUA